rnacentral:lncRNA from 1 species
GGGUUUUGCUGAGUGUGGUUCUGUGAGGGAUACAGGGAAUUCCCCUCAGAACUCCCCACAGCCUGAUGCAGCAGUAUCCCCUGCUCCCCCACAGGAGGCUGGAGGGAGAGGCGCGCGGGAGGAACCCGCCUGCUCCGCUCAGGCGCACGCUGCGCUCUGGUGGGUAGGAGGGCGCGUGCAGAGCCGGUCCCUGCUCAGUGCGCCGGCUGCCGGGGCGGGCGAUUGGAGUCCCGUCCCCGGCUCUCGUGCUGCUAGCAGGGGCCGCACCCCAGCCCAGUAGCAGACGGCGCAGGUUCAGCCCACACCCAAGUUGGGACUCUCCGACGGCCGCAGGAAAAAGCCCAGGACACGAACUCUGGCUGUGGCCUUCUGGAUAGCACCAACAUUUCAUAAGAAAAAAGGCACUGAAGCAAACAAGGAAGAACAGCAGCACCUGAGAGGGGAAGUUUCCCUUUUUGAUGGUUUGGUAGGAAUGUGUAAAAAUGAACUAGCAUAUAUGAGAAGCAGAUCAGACCUGAACAAACUGGAAGAGGAGAGCAAAGGGAAGCAGCAACAAAUGGUAAAAGUCAGUUUCACUUUUUGUUUUUGUUGUUUUUCCUGAAAAGUACUCCUGAGG